rnacentral:rRNA from 1 species
UACGAAGGGUGCAAGCGUUAAUCGGAAUUACUGGGCGUAAAAGCGUGCGUAGGCGGUUUCUUAAGUCUGCUGUGAAAGCCCCGGGCUCAACCUGGGAAUGGCGGUGGAUACUGAGAAGCUGGAGUACGGUAGAGGAAGGUGGAAUUCCCGGUGUAGCGGUGAAAUGCGUAGAGAUCGGGAGAACAUCAGUGGCGAAGGCGGCCUUCUGGACCAGUGCUGACGCUG